GACGAACGCUGGCGGCGUGCUUAACACAUGCAAGUCGAACGGAGUGGCGAACGGGUGAGUAACACGUGGGUGAUCUGCCUUGCACUUCGGGAUAAGCUUGGGAAACUGGGUCUAAUACCGGAUAGUGCAAGAUGAGCUCGCGGCCUAUCAGCUUGUUGGUGGGGUAAUGGCCUACCACGGCGUCGAAGGGUAGCCGGCCUGAGAGGGUGUACGGCCACAUUGGGACGUGGAUACGGCCCAGAGUCCUACGGGGGGCAGCAGGGGGGAAUAUUGCACAAUGGGCGGAGGCCUUAUGAAGCGACGCCGCGGGGGGGAUGAAGGCCUUCGGGUUGUAAACUCCUUUCGACAGGGACGCGGUACCUGUAUAAGAAGCACCGGCUAACUACGUGCCAGCAGCCGCGGUAAUAC
rnacentral:rRNA from 1 species